GUUUAAUACAUUAAGUAUUCCAAAAAGCUAUUACAUCAAAUGAGUGGCUUUGUGGGCAUACUUCCAACAUACAAGUGGUUGGAGAUUUGAAUUUUUUUCUUCAACCACUUGUACGAUGACAUGGUGUACUAGACCGUAUUUUCAGCACAUUAAAAAAAUCUCUUUAACAUCUGUAUUUGAUAUUUUCUUCGUUUUUGAUGAUGGGAAUGUGGCGGGAAUCCCCCUAAAAAUACCCUUAGGGAUGCUAAAAAUAGUAGUGGAUAUUUUCUGGAUCUCUCUCUCUCUCUGUGCUCACUCUCACGCAUGCUUCUUGCUUCGUUAAUCGAUUGCGUUGAUGGAAGCCGAACGAGUCCCG
rnacentral:lncRNA from 1 species